UAUAUAGUAGCUCUAGAAUUUAGUUACAACAAGCGAUUCGAGUAUUGUUUUCACCAUGUUCGUACAUGUUCAAAGCUAAGGCUAUGUAUGUGUUUUCUACUAGCGUGUGUUUGCAACAUUAGGUGUGAUAGAAGGUGAAAGGUUCAGUCCUCCUUCUCUUCCCUUCCUUUUCUUCCGUUACCCGAACUUGCAACAUCAUUCUAAGGUACACUCUGUGGACCUUAUUUGUUUACCCAUUUACGAUUGGUUUCAAAUCCACAUAGUUUGUUUUCCCCAAAUUUAUAUCUUGGUAAUUCUGUGCCCACUUUCAGCAAUACUGUGGUGCGUUUUCCUUUGCACUGAAUUCUUAUGGACUACAGUGAAUCACACUAUGACAAUGCAUUCAUCUUCUAUGAUAGGCUUACCUUCAAUUCAAAUGCUUUCCAUAAUACUUGUUCUCUGUUCCAUCUCUUUUUAUGUGUCAUUCAUCAAUUUCCGUUUGUUAAAAAUAUUUUAUUUGUUUCGGUUUAAAAUUAUCAUAGCUACUGCUGCUGUUAUCAAAUUGAACACUUUCUUGUACUACUGUACUAGUUUUGUUUGUAGAAAUUGUGGCCUAAAUGUUAUAUAUAAUUCUGAGUCUUUGCAACCUAUAAGAGAAAUUGGGUAUUGCUAGGUUCGUCCACACAGGUUGAUCACCUUAACAAAGUUUUGCUGCAAA